AUGAAGGUGGGAACCACGCGCUGGCGCGUCGCGGCAGCGCCGGAGCAGCUGCAGGCCGAGUGGGUAGCUGGGGUGCUGCUCACGCUGGCGCCGUCGCCGCCCGGUAGACGGAACAACCAACCGGCUCCGGAGGAUACGAGUGGAGUUUUCGAGUACAAAACGUACAAUACUCGGAAUGUUUGCGGUGGUCCCACCUGCAGGUCAAAAGGGAUUGACACCGUCGGAAUUUUGGUUGGGCUGACCCCUACCACUUCCCCAUCACUUGGGCACACCGAGCCAAUGUUAGCUGCUAGCUGGGCACCCUGGGACGACAGCAUUGACACGCCUUCUCCUCUCCCUCAUCAAAUUUUAGAUUUUGCUAGGAAGGUGUCCGUGCGUUACGUACAACGGCAUUAGAUUAGAUUAC
rnacentral:lncRNA from 1 species